rnacentral:rRNA from 1 species
CCUACGGGUGGCAGCAGUAGGGAAUCUUCCACAAUGGGCGCAAGCCUGAUGGAGCAACACCGCGUGAGUGAAGAAGGGUUUCGGCUCGUAAAGCUCUGUUGUUGGAGAAGAACGUGCGUGAGAGUAACUGUUCACGCAGUGACGGUAUCCAACCAGAAAGUCACGGCUAACUACGUGCCAGCAGCCGCGGUAAUCCGUAGGUGGCAAGCGUUAGCCGGAUUUAUGGGGCGUAAAGCGAGCGCAGGCGGUCGCUUAGGUCUGAGGUGAAAGCCUUCGGCUUAACCGAAGAAGUGCAUCGGAAACCGGGCGACUUGAGUGCGGAAGAGCACAGUGGAACUCCAUGUGUAGCGGUGGUAUGCGUAGAUAUAUGGCAGAACACCAGUGGCGAAGGCGGCUGUCUGGUCUGCACCUGCCGCUGAGGCUCGAUAGCCUGGGUAGCGAACAGGAUUAGAUACCCGGGUAGUC